AUGUGGACGAAUGUGCUACUGAUAAUGGUGGCUGUGAACAGUAUUGCCAUAACACAGUCGGGAGUUACUACUGUUCCUGUGAUGAUGGCUAUUACCUGAUUGAGGAAGGGCAUUCGUGUGACGAUGUGAACGAAUGUGAGACUGAUAAUGGUGGCUGUGAACAGAACUGCCAUAACACAGUCGGGAGUUACUACUGUUCCUGUGAUGAUGGCUACACUCUGAAUGCCGAUCGGCAUUCGUGUGACGAUAACGGUGGAUGCGAUCCCAACCCGUGCGAUGCCAAUGCAUACUGUUCAGACGUUCCAGCUCCAGGGACCGGUCAGGACUGUACGUGUAACUCUGGGUAUGAGGGAGAUGGAUACACAU